UACGUAGGGUGCAAGCGUUGUCCGGAAUUAUUGGGCGUAAAGAGCUCGUAGGCGGUCUGUCGCGUCGAUCGUGAAAACUCGGGGCUCAACCCCGAGCCUGCAGUCGAUACGGGCAGACUAGAGUGCGGUAGGGGAGACUGGAAUUCCUGGUGUAGCGGUGAAAUGCGCAGAUAUCAGGAGGAACACCGGUGGCGAAGGCGGGUCUCUGGGCCGUAACUGACGCUGAGGAGCGAAAGCGUGGGGAGCAAACAGG
rnacentral:rRNA from 1 species